UACGUAGGGCGCAAGCGUUGUCCGGAAUUAUUGGGCGUAAAGAGCUCGUAGGCGGCCUGUUGCGUCCGCUGUGAAAUCCCGGGGCUCAACUCCGGGCCUGCAGUCGAUACGGGCGGACUAGAGUUCGGCAGGGGAGACUGGAAUUCCUGGUGUAGCGGUGAAAUGCGCAGAUAUCAGGAGGAACACCGGUGGCGAAGGCGGGUCUCUGGGCCGAUACUGACGCUGAGGAGCGAAAAGCGUGGGGAGCGAACAGG
rnacentral:rRNA from 1 species